rnacentral:rRNA from 1 species
GACGAACGCUGGCGGCGUGCUUAACACAUGCAAGUCGAACGGUGAAGCGCCUUCCUUUUUGGUGGGUGUGGAUGAGUGGCGAACGGGUGAGUAACACGUGAGUAACCUGCCCCCUUCUUCUGGAUAACCGCAUGAAAGUGUGGCUAAUACGGGAUAUUCUGGGUCUGUCGCAUGAUGGGUCUGGGAAAGAUAUUGUUUCGGUGGGGGAUGGGCUCGCGGCCUAUCAGCUUGUUGGUGGGGUGAUGGCCUACCAAGGCGGUGACGGGUAGCCGGCCUGAGAGGGUGGACGGUCACACGGGGACUGAGACACGGCCAAGACUCCUACGGGAGGCAGCAGUGGGGAAUAUUGCACAAUGGGCGCAAGCCUGAUGCAGCGACGCCGCGUGAGGGAUGGAGGCCUUCGGGUUGUGAACCUCUUUCGCCAGUGAAGCAGGCCUGCCUCGUUUGUGGGUGGGUUGACGGUAGCUGGAUAAGAAGCGCCGGCUAACUACGUG